CAGAGACAGGACACCGUGGAGCCGAGCUGCCUCCUGGGCAUCCCGGUCCGAACAGCUCCUUGGCAUCCCAACACCAAACUUCGCUGUUUAAUGUGGACCUCUUCAGGCUUUGGAGCCAUACUGGGGAGCUCACUCCGAUACCAUCAGAGAAGUGCCCAAGCUUUGCAGCCUCAUUCAGGCCAAAAAAGAAGCUUGGUGUCAGGCAAACCAGACUGAGGGAGAAUAUACUAGAGGAAAAUACUGUAUUGAUCAGGUUAAUCUUAACAAUGUCAGGAGGAAUUAUAAGUAGCUCAAGAUUGUUCUGCAAAAUUCUACAGCCUCAUGGAUCACCUCACAAAUUGGUGUGAAAUGGAGAAAGGCUGAAGGGUUGACUGCAUAACCCACUCUUACAAACCCAGCAUUAUUGCACCAGGGCUAAAUGCUACAGCCAAAAGCCAGCCCUACCCUGCCACGCUGAGAGUGGUGCUUUAUUUUGGUAGCUGAACUGGAAGCAUUGACUGCAGAAGGGCUGUUAUUGUGCUGCCUGCUUUUCUUGCCUGCUUUGCAAUUGACAAAGCAUCAUUUAUCACGCUUUGCAUUCCAAUUUUUCUUUGCACGUUUUCCAGCUCAUCAUAACAUAAUUAUGUUUCUGUUUCCUUCAGCCAGGGGCUGAUACUUUCUUUUACUAAGACAACAGCUGCACUGCACAACCUUGAUGAAUCCCCAUAAGGGUGAAAAGAGUCUGUGGUGCUUGUUUCUGCCUUGGCAACCCAAAUGUUCAGGCUCUUUUUUGUGACAAAUGCUGCUCUAAAAUGCACCCAACCCUGAUGCUUUCAUAGCAUUUCUCAAAAUUGGGUUUUAUAUUGUAAAUUAGACUUUAAAUAUUAAACAUUCUGCCUGGUUCGUAAUUUUAAAGGCUUCCUUUGUUACAUUUCUGUUUGUGGUGUUUAUAGGUUAUAGACUCUGGAUGGAAUUUAGAAGGCUGUGGUUACUGAUGUGAAAUCUGUAUUUUGAAUGAAAUUGACUUUAUGUGUGACAAUAAGCACAAUCUGAAGGUCUGUUUUAUGUUCCUAAAGAGCAUCUUAAGGCAGCUUUCACAGUACAGGUGAAUCAUUUCCUUGAUUACAGCCUCAGUUGCUCCAGCCUCAUUGUGGCAGAAAGGUAAUUACAGAAACCCCAUCUCUGAAGGGCAUUAACUGCUAAUGAUGGGAAAAGACUCACAGUAUUUUUAUUAUCAGUUGUUGACAUAUUUUAUUUAACUCUAAUGCAGUACUCUGAACCUGAGAUUUUAAAGUACUUCAGAAAGAAAGAAUGAUUUCUGUAUUUUACAUAGGAGAAACCAGUGCAGAGAAAAUCAGGGCUCAAUACUGGAGGCAAGCUGAGGGCAGAAUCCAUUCUUAAUGCUACUGAUUUUGCUUACCCAAUUAUACCAUUACUAAUUCCAAUUUCAUCUCAAAAUCUAUCCAUCAGAGCACUCUGUACAGUGGAAGCAGCAAUGUUUUCAGCCACUGAAUAUUGCCCAGGUUUGUAAAUAUAUGGGACAUUGUGGCCUGGACAAUACCACAGCCUGGACAAUUGCAUUAUUCAGGGCAACAUUUUCCCUACAGUUUUGCUUUCUAUCAUAUUGUUCUGGUGCUAUUACUCCUGACACUAUCAUUUGAAGAUUGUUUGUAUUUAUACAUAAAAAUUACAAUAAAUCUGUAAGUGGAGACAAGA